AUCUGGCUUAGUUAGGAGGCAUAGAUUGAUGAAGAGAUAUCGAGGUCAUUCCUCUCUGAAUUUUUCUUUGCUUGGGCCUUUUUGAGGGGACUUUAAGAUAUUCCAAUUUAUUGUCCCCCAAGCAGCCUUAGACAUUU